rnacentral:rRNA from 1 species
UACGUAGGGGGCAAGCGUUGUCCGGAAUCAUUGGGCGUAAAGCGCGUGUAGGCGGCUCGGUAAGUCUGCUGUGAAAGUCCAGGGCUCAACCCUGGGAUGCCGGUGGAUACUGUCGGACUAGAGUACGGAAGAGGCGAGUGGAAUUCCCGGUGUAGCGGUGAAAUGCGCAGAUAUCGGGAGGAACACCAAUUGCGAAGGCAGCUCGCUGGGACGUCACUGACGCUGAGACGCGAAAGCGUGGGUAGCAAACAGG